rnacentral:rRNA from 1 species
AUGUGCAAUUUUCACCAUGCAACUAUACUUGUCUGUGAGAUGUGCAACUUCAUAUGUUGCGCCGGCCAACUGCCUAGUAGACAAUGUGCAACUCCAUCUUUUGAUAAUUAUGGCGUAGUUUUUGACUGUGUCGACAUUUACAAGCAGCCCGCAUUCGAUCAUCCUCUCCUGAAGAAUCACGUACUACAGAUGCCGCCAAAUUCAAGUUCCGGCACUGGUCUACCGACAACAGGGGAAAGUUGUCCUUAUGGAACUGUCCCGAUACGGAGAACUCUCAAGGAAGAUCUUGUAAGGGGACGUGCACUUCGUCCGUUCGCCCUGGUGUUGUUAGACAGCGAGAAAGGCAAGACAUUCCAGAGCGCGAGUGCUUCGAUCGAGGUGUAUUAUUUCCCUAUGCCGUCAGAUGCUGCUUCCACAGCUCAGAUGCUGGUUGUGGACGACAGGUCAAGCAAUGUGACCGUCGUGCAAGCUGGAUGGCAUAUUGAUCCUGGCCGCGAAGGCGACGGGCAGAGCCGUUUAACGGUUUACUGGACGGCUGAUGACUACAAACAGACGGGCUGCCCUAACAUGCAGUGCCCUGGAUUUGUGCUGGUAAACCAAUAUGUCGCCCCUGGGACGGCCUUUCCGGCUGGAUCAUCGAUUGCUUUAACCAUCUUCAGGACCGGGCACUGGCUAGCUGCAGUCAACGGACUCAUCGUGGGCUACUUUCCCCGUGCCAUAGUCAACGGCAUGGACGGCAGCACCCAGGUCCAAGUGGGAGGGACCGUGUACGCGCCACCGGGGAGGAAGAGACCUCCCAUGGGCAGCGGCAUCGCACCGGGGCCCAACAGUAACAACGGCGCCGCCAAGUUCAAGUGGUUAGCAGUCCGCGGCAGCACGAAUGUCAAGUUUAGGAAGACCAAGGACGUCGAUGACUCCAGCAUAUAUGACGUUGUGGUCACUUCAGCUUCACAAAAUGCUCCUGAUGGAUUUUCCUUCCAGUAUGGUGGCCCCGGAGAUGCAUAG